rnacentral:tRNA from 1 species
GGGGAUUUGGCUCAGUGGUAGAGAGCUUGCCUAGCAAGCACAAGGUCCUGGGUUCGGUCCCCAGCUCCCCCC